GUGAUCCUCCCCCUCUACUCAGCACUGGCAAUGCCACACCUGAAAUGCUGUGUCCGGUUCUGGGCUCCAUGGUACAAGGGAGACAUGGACAAACUAAAGAGAGUCCAACGAAGGGUCACUAAGAUGGUUAAGGGACAUCUGUGACAUGAAAAAGGAAUGUCAGAGCUGGGGCUGUGCAACCUGGAGAAGAGAAGGCUCGGAGGGAAACUCAUCAAACCUAAUGGAAGGGUAGAGAAGGCAGAGACAGAAUCUUCUGGAGAGUUCAUGAUAAUGAAUCAGGAGGCAAUGGGUACAAGCUGGAACAUGGGGUGUUCAUCAUGAGAGUGGUCAAACACUGGACCACAUUGCACAGCAAAGUUGUGGAAUCUCCAACAUUAGAGACUUUGACAGUUAGCUGGGAAACUCCCUGAGCAAGGUUGUCUGUUUGGACCUGCUUUAAUGAAGGGGUUGGACUUGAUGACCUUUAGAAACCCUAAACUAUUCUGAUUCUAUGAGUGAUCACUUUCUCCCUAAGUCCUCAGCCGUAUUCAUGAUUCCAGGAGUUCUAGGUUAUUUAAGCGCCCCUCCUGUGGAAGUUACUCAGUAACUUUCUGCCGAUCUUUGUAUGAUUUCUCAUUCUCCUUCUUUAGUUGGGGUGACAUGCAGCCACCAGUAGCUUAGCCCUGGAAAAAAAUGAAUUUCUGUUUCCUCAGAGCUUGAGCUGGUGUUGGUCUCUUUUUGGCACUGGCAGUAACUGUUUAUGAUCUGUUUCAGCGAUGCGUGCUUCCCAUAAACAAAGACAUGAAAACUUACAGUCACAGAACAAAUUCAAGUCCUCCUUCUCUUCAUGAGUAUGCCAACAGCCUAGUUUUGGCAGAAGUCACAGCACAGCAACCACCAGUCUUUGGUUUCGACCUCACAACUGCAAGAGGAUGCACAAAUACUCUGCGUGGAGGCAUCCCCGUGCAACUCUUGUGCUUUCCAACCCUGAAUGCUUCCACCAUCUUCUUUCACUUUUCAUGAGAAGCUGCACAUCAGAACCAUCACACAUCUGCACACUUGUAAUGACUUAAAGAGCACUCUCAAGGCCACAGAAGGAACUUGCCGUAAGAUAAGCCACCACAGUGGGAACUUGAGAAUAGCAAAGAAGGGAGGAAUUUGUGAGAGCAAGGCAAUAAUCCCAGGCCUGGCAGAGGUGAGGUCUGGUUGCAAAUCCUGAUUAAUGUGUUCAGACAAAAAUUCCCACUGUGGCAAACUGGGAGAGGAAGCAGCUACUCAUACACAUAGCACCACUCAAAGAAAGAUCACAUUAAGUUAUGGGAAUGACUUGUGUGACCACCCCAUGGAUACUUGGAACUUGGACUGUAUAAAGGUGGUAACACCAGAAGAACAAGUCCAGGACCCCACCACUGAGAAGACCAGGGUGAAGAAGGACCAAUGGGACACUUCUGGAUCCACAGCUUCCAUCCCACUUCAGAGAUGCCAGUCUUCUCAACCUCCAUCCUGAACUUUAGCCAUUUGCCUUUUAUUCCCUGAAUUUCUUUUAGCAAUAGUAUCACUGCUUUAAACACCAUGUUGGUUUAUUCACCUUUUUCCAGUUAAAUAUGAAUAAAAACUCCAUUUGUUUUCAGGCUCCA